rnacentral:rRNA from 1 species
CGGGGUGCAGCAGGCGCGAAAACUUUGCAAUACGGGAAACCGUGACAAGGGAACUCUGAGUGCCCGUAAAAUCGGGCUGUCCAUCGGUUUAAAUAACCGGUGAAGAAAGGGCCGGGCAAGACCGGUGCCAGCCGCCGCGGUAAUACCGGCGGCUCGAGUGGUGGCCACUAUUACUGGGCUUAAAGCGUUCGUAGCUGGUUUGUUAAGUCUCUGGGGAAAUCUUCCGGCUUAACCGGAAGGCGUCUCAGGGAUACUGGCAGACUAGGGACCGGGAGAGGUGAGAGGUACUCCAGGGGUAGGAGUGAAAUCCUGUAAUCCUUGGGGGACCACCUGUGGCGAAGGCGUCUCACCAGAACGGCUCCGACAGUGAGGGACGAAAGCUGGGGGAGCAAACCGGAUUAGAUACCCGGGUAGUCCCAGCUGUAAACGAUGCGCGUUAGGUGUAUCAGUGACCACGAGUCACUGAGGUGCCGAAGAGAAAUCGUGAAACGUGCCGCCUGGGAAGUACGGUCGCAAGGCUGAAACUUAAAGGAAUUGGCGGGGGAGCAC